rnacentral:tRNA from 2 species
AAGAGUUUAGUUUAUUUAAAAAUGUUAGAUUGUAAAUCUAAAGUAUCGUACUCUUG